UACGAAGGGGGCUAGCGUUGUUCGGAAUCAUUGGGCGUAAAGCGCGUGUAGGCGGUCCGGUAAGUCCGCUGUGAAAGUCGGGGGCUCAACCCUCGGAUGCCGGUGGAUACUGUCGGGCUUGAGUACGGAAGAGGCGAGUGGAAUUCCUGGUGUAGCGGUGAAGUGCGCAGAUAUCAGGAGGAACACCAAUUGCGAAGGCAGCUCGCUGGGACGGUACUGACGCUGAGACGCGAAAGCGUGGGGAGCAAACAGG
rnacentral:rRNA from 1 species